rnacentral:rRNA from 1 species
AUUGAACGCUGGCGGCAUGCCUUACACAUGCAAGUCGAACGGCAGCACGGGUGCUUGCACCUGGUGGCGAGUGGCGAACGGGUGAGUAAUACAUCGGAACGUACCUUAUCGUGGGGGAUAACGCAGCGAAAGCUGUGCUAAUACCGCAUACGCCCUGAGGGGGAAAGCGGGGGAUCGCAAGACCUCGCGCGAUUAGAGCGGCCGAUGCCUGAUUAGCUAGUUGGUGGGGUAAAAGCCCACCAAGGCGACGAUCAGUAGCUGGUCUGAGAGGACGAUCAGCCACACUGGGACUGAGACACGGCCCAGACUCCUACGGGAGGCAGCAGUGGGGAAUUUUGGACAAUGGGGGCAACCCUGAGCCAGCAAUGCCGCGUGAGCGAAGAAGGCCUUCGGGUUGUAAAGCUCUUUUGUCAGGGAAGAAACACCGGCUCUAACACAGUCCGGGAAUGACGGUACCUGAAGAAUAAGCACCGGCUAACUACGUGCCAGCCGCCGCGGUAA